UGGGGCAUGACCUUGGUGACUAUAUCUGUCCCAGGCCCAGUUUUUUCUGGCUGUUUCCCUUACUCUCUGCUGCCUGGCUGUCUGAGAUGAGCACCUACCCUCUACUAUGCCCCUCCGCCACAAAAGCAAUGAAGCCAAGUAACUGUAAACUGAAACCUCUGAAACUGAGCUGCAUGAAGUUGGAAGAGAGAGACAUGGAGUCUAGAAAGACAGAAGUAAAGGAAAGUUGAUCCUACCCUAACUGGACAGCAAGCUCUGCAACAAGAAAACACUUGGAAAGCAGUACCCAGCCCGGCUCUUUUCAACUCCGCGCGGAAGGGCUCCCACCGGAACUUCUCCGGGUCCGCGCUCUCCCAUUGGUUGAAGGUUCGCCCGCUUCCACUUGCUUCCGGUUACGACCCCCGUAGGGCGGGGGCGUCCAAAGGAGUCACUUCCGCCUUGCCCACCCCCCCCG
ensembl:lncRNA